rnacentral:lncRNA from 1 species
CCGAUGAUCUUGUUCAGCGAGUGGAUCAGGCAAUGCGAGAAAAUCGUCGGUUCACAAUUUCUGAAUUGAGUGAUUCGUUUCCCGAAAUUUCACACUCAGAUUACU